UACGUAGGGUGCGAGCGUUGUCCGGAAUUAUUGGGCGUAAAGAGCUUGUAGGCGGUUUGUCGCGUCUGCCGUGAAAAUUCGAGGCUCAACCUCGAACUUGCGGUGGGUACGGGCAGACUAGAGUGUGGUAGGGGAGACUGGAAUUCCUGGUGUAGCGGCGAAAUGCGUAGAUAUCGAGAGGAACACCUGCGGCGAAGGCGGGUUGCUGGGCUGAUACUGACGCUGAGGCGCGAAAGCUAGGGGAGCGAACGGG
rnacentral:rRNA from 1 species